CAAUAGCGUAUAUUAAAGUUGUUGCGGUUAAAAAGCUCGUAGUUGGACUUCUGCCGAGGACGACCGGUCCGCCCUCUGGGUGAGUAUCUGGUUCGGCCUGGGCAUCCUCUUGGAGAACGUAGCUGCACUUGACUGUGUGGUGCGGUAUCCAGGACCUUUACUUUGAGGAAAUUAGAGUGUUUCAAGCAGGCAUGCCCUGAAUACAUUAGCAUGGAAUAAUAAGAUAGGACCUCGGUUCUAUUUUGUUGGUUUCUAGAGCUGAGGUAAUGAUUAAUAGGGAUAGUUGGGGGCAUUCGUAUUGAACUGUCAGAGGUGAAAUUCUUAGAUUUGUUCAAGACGGACUACUGCGAAAGCAUUUGCCAAGGAUGUUUUCAUUGAUCAAGAACGAAAGUUAGGGGAUCGAAGAUGAUCAGAUACCGU
rnacentral:rRNA from 1 species